GGCACCGCCUCAGGGGCCUGUGGUGGCGGCGGCGGCGGUGAGGUCUGUCCCGGUCCCCUCAGCCCCGGAUCCCCCAUCCCCGUUAUCCCCGUCCCCGGCGGGGAGGGACUGAACCGGAGCAGCUGUGGGGCCACUUGAAUUUACAGAAGGGAUCAGGCUGUGCGUUCCUUCUCUUUUCCUGAAAUGGAAUUGCUUGACUAAGAUCUACAGCAGCCUGAGGGUCUGUGCUGUAAAGCCCCCUUCUGCUAGUGUCUACGGAGAAGAUGUAGUUGUCCUCUUGGCUGUGAGUCGGAUAAAGGAAUAAGGGCUGGAGACCAGAUUCAUAGAAACAGUUUGAAAGAAACCGACUAUAAAUACCCAGUCACUUUCAGGAAACUUUUCUUGGCAACAGAAGCUAAAAUCAAGCACCGUAUCAAAUAAAAUGCGAAGCAUGCUACAAAGCUUAUCUCCUUUCUCCUGAAGAAAGCUUUGUGAGUGUAGCCACGAGCCCGGAGCUGAAUCACCCAGUGCCGCGGCAAGCAGAGCAACUCCAAAGACUUUUAAGAAUAAUUUUUCAAUCGUUUUCUCUAUUAAAACUCACCAGCGCCCUUCUUCUGCUUCUCCAGGAAGUUGUACCCGUCAGCACCUGCUGAGGGCUUCGUUGAUCAAACUGGCAGGUAAAAAAAAUAAAAUUCCUGUAGAGUAAAGCCAGACCAGCUGGCUUUGAAGAGAAACCCCCCAGUUUGGGUUGUGUUUGCCUCACUCACCCUCUCCUCGGCAGCUUGGGGCUUUUUCUCCUUUGGAUGUUGACCUGUAGGUUGCGUGAUGCGGGCGCGCAAGUGUCUGGCAGGCGAAGGGGCACCUGCUUCUGUCAGUCCCGAGUAAAUUUAGCUGUAAAAGGUAUCGCUGACAAGCAGACCUUUGUCAGGGCUGGCAAACGAACACAGCCUUGCCGUCCCCCCCCGUCCCAAGUGCGCUGCGAGUUCAAAUGGAAAAUAUCAAAUUGGUCGUCUUAUCCAGGAAUCGCUUCUUCGAGAAGAAGGAAGGCCAAAUUGCUUGCAUGUGGCAAAAAAAAAAAAACCUUUCCUCCUUUACAUAGAUGUUAAAAUUACAGUAUUCCAAGAAUAAUCUCUGAACAAGACGGGGUUUUGUUCUAUUAAUUGUGGCUGGAAGGAAACUUUUUUUUUUUUUUUAAAUGGAAAUACAGCACACACAUAUUUCAAUUCAGGUUAUUAAACUGUGUUAAGUAUUAAAGUUGAUUGCCUUUCUUUUCACUAACUCAUUGUGCUUUUUUACCCAAAGAAAUAUUAGAAGACUAAAACCUCUCAAAUAGGAGGUAUUAAUCUCAUUCCCAAAAUUAGAAAGCAUGCAGUGUUGAGAGACUGGAUGUCAAAAUUACACGUUCGUAGCACUUAGACGGUGGGAAUCUAGGAACCAACCACUUUUAAAAUGAGAGCUAAAGUAAAUGGAGACUCUUCUGAGAGAAGAGAUCAAAACUUGGUUUUCUUGUCUUUAUUGGAUUAAGGUAAGGAUAUUUAUCAUUUAUAUCUGCCCCUUGCGUUUUUUCCCCCCUCCCCUCUCCCUUUUUUUUAAUCACCAGAAGUGGCUUUUUUUUUUUUUUUUUGCCAGGACUGGUAGUAGCAUACCUAGGUACUCCAUUUUCUGCUUGGAAACUGUGACGCAAACUCAAGCAACUUUAAGGAAAAAAUUCAAAAAAGUGUGUAUUUCACUACAAUAUGCUGUUUAAAAGGAGCAAAAUGUUCCGUCUAAAAAAGUGGGGCACCCUUUCAGAUAAAAACAUGGACCUGAUUGGCAUCAUCCGGUAUCCAUGGAAACGUUUGAAGUACCUCUCUCUCAAUAUGUACUUCUCUUAUUCAGGGUUUAAAAGCUGAGUACCGAAUAAAGAAAGAAGCGUAAGGUUGAACUACAUUUAUUUUCAAAACCAUCAUUCUGAAGAAGAUCCUUUGCAGGUUUUGUCAGGAGCUGGGGAAAAAAGCAAGAGGCAGCACUGGGGUACGUGCAUCUGGAUCCGUAGCGUCGCGCUGACGGAGCCUGCAGCCUGUGGGAGCUCAGGUAGCCCUGAGGGGAGAAAGACAUGUACUCCGUGAUUUUUCGUGAAGAAAAGAGCAUGCAGAUGUGAAGGCAGAAUUCAAAAGCCUCCUGAAGCAACGAAAAGGCAAAGCUAUUCAUGUGCUGGUGGUAUUCUUCUUUGUGUUACACCAAAGUGCAUCGGUGAAUGUAAAAUGUCAGCAAGUAAUAUGGACAUUUCACAUUUGUGGAGAGUUGGGGCGGUCAGUAAUACACCUUAUUUCAACCUUUGAUAACUGCCUUCACCCUAACAGUUAUGAGGGGUUCAGAUAUUUUUCAUGGGCACUCAAGACAUCUUUCUGAGACUAGUAAGUAAUACAUAAAAAGUCAAAAGGGAAAAUAAGUUCCACCUCUGCUUCCUUUAGUGCUCUUUUACAGACAUGCUAGGAGAGUAUGGGAAGAAGAACAGGAAGAAGGAUGAAAGGAAGGUUAUUUCUAGAUGCUUUAUUGGAAAACAUCUCAUUUUCUCUCUAUAGCACAAGAUUUCAUGUCCUAGAGAGAGACUUGAUCUCCUCGCAAGACCUUUUGGUAAGGAACCAAGAACUUAAGCAACAGUGGACAUGUUGAACAGAGAAGGACACAUCUAUGGUGAACCUUGCCUCUGAUAGCUUCUCUGAAGUGAGCACAGGUCUUUUGGUGUCUCUGGGUAUUACUUCUCUCUUCAGUGGCAAGAGGACAGAUCAGCUCAAGUGGCAGCAAACAGUCACUGAGCUCACCAGGGCUCUCUGCAGACACAGGUCCCAGUGGUGGAGAAUGAGUCCUCAUGAAGAAGGCUGGGAGGUCUUGGUCCCAUGGGUCCAGAUAGCAGGUACCAGCUGGGCCCUAGGUAAAUUUUCCCUUGUUGUAAAGUCACUAUUUGUUCAGGCUGUGCAUGCACGCAAGAAAGAAGGUUCUGAUUUUUUUUUUUUUUGUUUUUCCCAACUAACACUAUGUUUUUCUAUCCUCUAAGAGCUCCAUAAGAUUGGCAUUAUCCUGUAGUAGUGUCACAGCCUGCAGUCGUUUAAUGCUUCUUCUUGUGGGGCCAGGAUUCCACGCCCAAGUGCAUUUAGUAGCCACCGAGGGCUGACACAUAGUUUCCAAGAACUUCAGCGUGUCUUCUGUCUCCUGCCUCGUCUCCUGAAUCCCAAAUAUUUCUCAAGUGGCUAGCAAAAGAAUAUCCGGAUAAUCUUCAGCCUGGUGAUACAAGCUUCGAGAAGAAAGCCAGAUGGCUUUGAAAAUGAAUUGUAAACAGGGUGAAGGGAAAAGAAAAUAGCUUCGAGUGACACGACACGGAGCCCACCUGGGUCACUGUCACCCUUCCAGCAAUAUAAGUGAGCUUUGGCUCGUUUUGUUCUUGCUCAAAACAUUGUGCCCAGAUACCACCGGCAGGAUGAGGACUGAAGAUUGACACACAGCAACUGUAGACACAAACCUACAGUGUGACAAAUAAGGCCCUGAUCCUAUCUACACAGCGGUCUCGUACAAUGGGUGGUCUCUGCUGGUGCCAGCUCCUCUAAAUAUCUUGAUGGGACUCGGAAAAAAGAUGAUACCCCUUGGCUGUGGUGGAAGAGAGAGUGACGGAGCUGGGGCUGGCCAUGAUUUAGGCUACAGAACAUUCUUCUGGGAGGCAAUAAAGCCACAUCCGUGCUUUGUAGGCAGCAAAGUGCCCUGCAGAGGCCUGAAGUCGCGGCAACAAACGCAAAAGUGUUUUUAUGAGUUAAUAGAUGAGUGGGUAACGGGUACCAGAAGGAUUAUGGUGGAAGACUAAACUUCAGUCGUCUGCCUGAGACCUCAGAAAGGGGGGCCACGCUGACGUUGCUCUCCAUCCCAAAUGAUGCUGCCACGUUCCCUCAUCGCUACCCGUGCGCAGAGCUUGACGUGGAGUGAUGGGUCCCAGGGCACCCAGCCUUGGAUCAGGCAGAGUGUGGAGAGCCAAGAACUAAACCCUGAUGGCCCAGCUCUUCGAACACAUGUGUCAGGAAAAGCAGUUCCAGUGGAUCAGGAGCACUGCUUCCUUCAAUUACACUGCUGAAGGCGACAGGCGUUUUCAGGACUGGCCCUUGGCAUUUGGUUUGUUCUUGCAGUCCCGAGUAUGAAAAAAAAAUAAUUUAGUGUGCCUUUUUGAUUUUAUUAUGGAAAUGAGAUUGGACAGUCUUCAUCUGGCACAAAAAGAGUGGCAAGAUGCCUUGUUUCUCCUGAUCUCUGCUCGUCUGCCUCGAAAGACGGGCAAAAAUCAUCAUUCCUCAGCCAGAACGAGGAAAGCCAGAAGUGCUAGCAACAAAGCCGAUGGAAAUAUGUUUCCCCUUUCAAUAGCCUGCCUGGUACAGCAAGAAGAAAGGAGUGAGUGAUGCUAAAGGGAAGGGAACGCCCCUGUUCACGGGGGGGAUCCCACCAGCCUGAAUCCCUCCGGGUGUACCCAGACAGAGCCGGCGGUCAGGGCAGCCAAGCUUCCCAGGCCCAGCAAUUAAGUAUAAAAAGCCCGUCUUUAUCCAAACGGGGCUGUCUGUAUUUUGGAAAUUUCCACCACACUUCCUUCUGGAGAAGUCCUGCUUUUCUUAAAGCGCACAGCAGUGCUGAUGCUGGGGUGGUGGUGGCGGCCGUAAAGUCAUCCAUGCUGAAGAACUAGGGCAAUCUAUUAAGUCAACAUGAGUGAUCCAUGUCACUAUCAAUUUGUUUGCUGUUUUUCACAGUGGGUUGGGGUUUUUUUAAAUUAUUUUAUUUUAUUUUAUUUUACUUUAUUUUAUUUUAUCUUAUUUUAUCGUAUUUUAUUUAUUAUUAUUUUUUUUUAAAUUCCUCCGAAUUUUCCAUUGUCUGCCGGAGAUCAGCUGUUGCCAGUGAAAGUCUGACACGGAUGACAGUGGCCGUGGGUGGCACAGGCAGCAUUUGGUGUUACCCCGGUGUUACUGGUAACCUGAGAAGACUUUGAGCUUUUAAGACGUUGGUGCCUUUCGUUGGGGCUUUGGUCAGACAUUCCUGGGAUAGCGGGGAAGCUCCAGUGCUGGUCCUGGAAAUGGGGUGGGCAGUCAGGGGGAGAAGGGAAAAAGGGGAAGGAAAAAAUGAAAAAAAAAAAGAAAAGUUGACUGAAAGCCAGUGGAAUGCUACGAAAUCGGCAGCACCACCAUCACCAGUUUUUCAGAAAUCGUGAUCCAUAUCCUCAAAAGUGAUCUUGGCUUCAGAAUAAAAAAAAACCCAACAACGGCCAAACAAAAAAAAGAGAGAGAAACUCUAUCACCUGCAAGCCUCAGCCAGGAAUGUCAGUGUUUCAUUCCAUCCGUUCGACAUUUUUUUCAUUUGACUUCUGGCUUUUCACUUGUUAGGAGUCAAUCUUUUUUCGAUAGUUAUAAGGAACUGAGACCUAAAAAUACUGGAUCUAAUUGCCUGAGAAAAAGAGUGAGGAUUUUACAGAAACCACCAAAUAUCCUGUGACUGGUGAUAAAAUUGCAAGUGCUGGCAAUACUGAUCAGCAUAGGCUGAUUAUUGUAUUAACUCAGUUAAAAUAAUUCAAUAAAUUGAGUAUUUUGUUUUCUUUGAUCAGUGUUGUAUAUGAUUGGAAGGAAAAUUUUUUAUCCUCGGUGUGGAUCUCAGCCAAAGUUGUGAUUAACAGCUCCUUGUAUCGUUCAAGCACUGAACAGAGGGAAAUAUUGAGUGUUAAAAUGUAUCCGACCUUCUACAGAUGAAAUGAAAGAGGCAGAAAAAAUAUAAUUCUAUUACCUAGAGCAGAAUAAAACUAAACUACUCAGUG